rnacentral:rRNA from 1 species
UCCCCCCGAAUUGUGGUCUAGAAAGGCGCCAUCGGCCGUUCGCGUCGCCCAAAUCCCUUGGAACGGGGUAUCGGAGAAGGUGAGAAUCCUGUGCCGUGGCGUGGAGGGGCCGCACGAUGCGUCCUUGUCGAGUCGGGUUGCUUGGGAUUGCAGCUUGAAGUGGGUGGUAAAUUCCAUCUAAAGCUAAAUACUGGCGAGAGACCGAUAGCGAACAAGUACCGUGAGGGAAAGAUGCAAAGAACUUUGAAAAGAGAGUCAAAGAGUGCUUGAAAUUGGCAGGAGGAAACCCGGUUGCGCCCGGCGUCGGCGCGUCGACUCAGCCUCGUGCGUGCUCGUCUGGCGACCGCAAGGCGCCUUGGGCAGCGUGCGCGGUGCACUUUGGCGCGCCGGGUCAGUCGCGGCUUUGGGCGCGAGAGAUGCUGCGCGGUGAGGCUUUUGGCGACCCGCGCGGAGCGUCGCGUUUGAGGCUCCGACUGACGGAACGGGCGCCACCGACCCGUCUAGAAACACGGACCAAGGAGUCUGACACGUGUGCGAGUAUGCGGGUGGCAAGCCUGUGUGCGGAAUGAAAGUGAAGGGCAUGCCCUGCCAACCGACCUUGAUCUUCUGUGAAGGGUUUGAGUGGAGCACAUGUGUCGGGACCCGAAAGAUGGUGAACUAUGCCUGAGGAGGGUGAAGCCAGAGGAAACUCUGGUGGAGGCUCGUAGCGAUACUGACGUGCAAAUCGUUCGUCGAACUUGGGUAUAGGGGCGAAAGACUAAUCGAACCAUCUAGUAGCUGGUUCCCUCCGAAGUUUCCCUCAGGAUAGCUUGAGCGCAUUUCACGGUUUUG